GAUGAACGCUGGCGGCGUGCUUAACACAUGCAAGUCGAACGGUGAAGCAGGAGCUUGCUCUUGUGGAUCAGUGGCGAACGGGUGAGUAACACGUGAGCAACCUGCCCCUGACUCUGGGAUAAGCGCUGGAAACGGCGUCUAAUACUGGAUAUGUGAUGUGACCGCAUGGUCUGCAUCUGGAAAAAAUUUCGGUUGGGGAUGGGCUCGCGGCCUAUCAGCUUGUUGGUGAGGUAAUGGCUCACCAAGGCGUCGACGGGUAGCCGGCCUGAGAGGGUGAACGGCCACACUGGGACUGAGACACGGCCCAGACUCCUACGGGAGGCAGCAGUGGGGAAUAUUGCACAAUGGGCGGAAGCCUAAUGCAGCAACGCCGCGUGAGGGAUGACGGCCUUCGGGUUGUAAACCUCUUUUAGCAGGGAAGAAGCGAAAGUGACGGUACCUGCAGAAAAAGCACCGGCUAACUACGUGCCAGCCGCCGCGGUAA
rnacentral:rRNA from 1 species